rnacentral:rRNA from 1 species
GUGAAUCAUCGAAUCUUUGAACGCACCUUGCACCCUUUGGAAUUCCGAAGGGUAUGCUCGUUUGAGUGUCAUUGUACUCUCACACUCCCUACUCCUUUGGAUUUGGGGAGCGGUGGACUUGGGUGCUUGCUGCUUUCCUUGUGGCUCACCUCAAAUGUGUCAGUGCAUCUCUUGAUUGGACAUAGUACGGCGUGAUAAGUGUCUUCGCCGGCAUCUCGUAAGAGGGUGGCCGAUCGGGAGCUCUGUGCUUUCGAACCGUCUUCGGACAAUCUCUGACAACUUGACCUCAAAUCGAGUAGGACUACCCGCUGAACUUAAGCAUAUCAAUAAGCGGAGG